rnacentral:misc_RNA from 1 species
AGUGAGACCCAGGACUAUUCAAAUUGGGCAUCUGUGUGAAGAUAUUUGUAAUUUCAUUAGCUGAAAAUUAAUUUAAAUUUAGGUGCUAUGUUAUAGGAUAUUGCUUGAAGGAAUGUAAAAAUCUGUACAGUCUAUGAAUUUUGCCCAACAUUACUGGUCUGUGUGAUUGUUAGUUAUGUUUUACAUAUCAAUACUGUUCCCUUCUCUGAUGGAGAAUAUCUUCACGUGAUCUAGUUGUGGCCCAAAUUGGGGUUCUAUCUUUAACAAUGUGGGUGAUUGGCGAUGGUUUGAGUUAAAGAAAUAAGUCUUACAUAUAACUUUAUUUGGCUCAUCUGACACAUGAAUUGGGGCUUUUUUAUGCAUUUGUCCAAAUUAAGUUAA